rfam:Schistosoma rodhaini strain Burundi genome assembly, scaffold: SROB_scaffold0016227
AUCCAGCUGACGAUUCUUAAAUAGGAUGAAACGCGCAUCAUGGAU